GAUCAUGGCUCAGGAUGAACGCUGGCGGCGUGCUUAGCACAUGCAAGUCGAGCGAAGCACUUUGCUUUGAUUUCUUCGGGAUGAAGAGCUUGGUGACUGAGCGGCGGACGGGUGAGUAACGCGUGGGUAACCUGCCUCAUACAGGGGGAUAACAGUUAGAAAUGACUGCUAAUACCGCAUAAGGCCACAGCACCGCAUGGUGCAGGGGUAAAAACUCCGGU
rnacentral:rRNA from 1 species